GCUUUUGAACGAAGAAGUCCCUGCGCGUAACACCAGGGCCCAGUGGCAAGCCCGAUGGAGGAAUGAGCGCUACUAUUCGCAGCAGGGUCUUGCCAAACUCCGAGGGCAGCAGAGCAGCACCCGAGGCGGCCAGAUUUCGGAUUACCGUGGCCGCGUCGUGCUUGACAGGGACGAGUGUGCGAGGCCCAUAGUUCGGGUGGUCUGAAUCGGUGAGCCCUGCUCCAGCUGCUACUGGUGUGGCUGAAGAGGAUGUGGCCCAGGAUCUUUCCC